AUCGAACGCUGGCGGCAGGCCUAAUACAUGCAAGUCGAGCGAGCGGCGGACGGGUGAGUAAUGUAUGGGGACUGCCCGAUAGAGGGGGAUAACUACUGGAAACGGUGGCUAAUACCGCAUACUAUCGGAUAACCCAUAUGGGAUUAGCUAGUAGGUGGGGUAAAGGCUCACCUAGGCGACGACCUCUAGCUGGUCUGAGAGGAUGAUCAGCCACACGGGAACUGAGACACGGCCCAGACUCCUACGGAGGCAGCAGUGGGGAAUCUUGCACAAGGGGCGAAAGCCUGACGCAGCCAUGCCGCGGGUAUGAAGAAGGCCUUAGGUUUGUAAAGUACGUUCGGCGGGGAGGCGUUACCCGCAGAAGAAGCGCCGGCUAACUCCGUGCCAGCAGCCGCGGUAAUAC
rnacentral:rRNA from 1 species